ACUUGCAGACAUGUUCUCUUCAGUUACCAGACUCGCUAUCCACCUGCACGUGCUCCUGGCUCACCAUUUAUUCGUCUUAACUGCGUACUGUAGUUGCUGGAGGUGGCGGCUGAGGUGGCGGCAGAGUCAAAUAAGCAUCAGCCCUUCACCCAGGAGACUCGGGUUCACAUCCAGCAUGCCCCGGCAGGAUGUGCACAAGGUAAGGUAGGCACCACCCCGAAGGGGUGGUGCCUACCAUAGGGGUGGCGCUCACCAGCAACCCCAAUGCCACCCCGCUGGAGAAAUCCUGGUAGCAGUCAGGAAGUAGUAAAGUACUCCGACUGCCACCAGGGUUUCCCCAACUGUCUUAAAAGGUGUGCACAACCCCGAAGGGGUUGUGCACACCUUACCUUUUGCCGACUGCAACCAUGAUUUUUUUUCUCUAAGUAUCAUAAAGACAACACGGGGCUUUCACCCAGGAGACCGGGGGGUUCAUGUCCCACCUGUCAUGGUUAAGUACUUUCCUAAUCCCAACUGUCCUCGUCAUCUUCAUGGAGACUCAGACAGUUGGGUUUUGGAAAGUACUUUUCCAUGACACAUGGGACACGAACCCCAGUCUCCUGGGUGAAGGACCUUGUAUUCCUCAGUGUUGGACCUCAUCAUAAGGUGUGCUCCUUGCAAGUAUUGAACUCACAGCCUUGUGUUCUUCUAACCAGUGUUCCAUCACACUGAGCUAUCUGAUCUGAUACUCUCUACUGGUCGGAAGUUGUAUUUAUUGUUCACAUUUCAGAGUUGAAAAACUGUUAAAGCUGUUUGUACUAUUAUUUGUUGUUCACACUUUUUAUUUGUCUAUUCCUAUGUGUGUCCUAUCUAAGUGUUUGCAUAUACACUGGCAGCGAGCAGGUCUUGAACAUGACAACGUGCUUGGAAGGCUACUUCC